rnacentral:rRNA from 1 species
GACGAACGCUGGCGGCGUGCUUAACACAUGCAAGUCGAACGGAAAGGCCUCUUUGGGGGUACUCGAGUGGCGAACGGGUGAGUAACACGUGAGUAACCUGCCCUUGACUUCGGGAUAACUUCAGGAAACUGGGGCUAAUACCGGAUAGGAAUCCUUGCUGCAUGGUGGGGGUUGGAAAGCUUCGGCGGUUUUGGAUGGACUCGCGGCUUAUCAGCUUGUUGGUGGGGUAGUGGCUUACCAAGGCUUUGACGGGUAGCCGGCCUGAGAGGGCGACCGGCCACAUUGGGACUGAGAUACGGCCCAGACUCCUACGGGAGGCAGCAGUGGGGAAUAUUGCACAAUGGGCGGAAGCCUGAUGCAGCAACGCCGCGUGCGGGAUGACGGCCUUCGGGUUGUAAACCGCUUUCAGCAGGGGCGAAGCUUGUGGUGACGGUACCUGCAGAAGAAGCACCGGCUAACUACGUG